GCUGGGCAUGGUGGGGCAUGCCUGUAAUCCCAGCUACUUGGGAGGCUGAGGCAGGAGAAUUGCUUGAACCUGGGAGGUGGAGGUUGCAGUGAGCCAAGAUCGCACCACUGCACUCCAGCCUGAGCAACAGAGCAAGACUCUGUCUCAA
rnacentral:SRP_RNA from 2 species